rnacentral:rRNA from 1 species
GUCGAGCGGUAACAGGGAGCUUGGUCCGCUGACGAGUGGCGAACGGGUGAGUAAUGCAUCUGAACGUACCCCCUCGUGGGGGAUAACGUAUCCAAAGUUACGCUAAUACCGCAUACAUCCUGAGGGAGAAAGCGGGGGACCGAAUGGCCUCGCGCGAUUGGAGCGGCCUAUGUCUGAAUACCUAGUUGGUAGGGUAAAGGCCUACCAAGGCGACGAUCCGUAGCGGGUCUGAGAGGAUGAUCCGCCACACUGGGACUGAGACACGGCCCAGACUCCUACCGGAGGCAGCAGUGGGGAAUUUUGGACAAUGGGCGCAAGCCUGAUCCAGCCAUGCCGCGUGAGUGAAGAAGGCCUUCGGGUUGUAAAGCUCUUUCAUGUGGAAAGAAAACGCAGGGGUAAAUACCCUGUGUGGAUGACGGUAC